rnacentral:misc_RNA from 1 species
CAGUAAUAUGCUGUAGACCUGGUGUCUUGGAUAAAACCAUGGAGUGUAUUCUUCGUGUGGCCUGCAAAGGAAUCCAGCACCGCCCAACCUUGUAAACCUAAGAACGUUACCUCGGCAGGUUUGCUUGCCGGUGGAUAUUAAUUAAACUCCUUUAAAUAUGACUGUAAUUAGUGGUACUGUCUGAAAAAUUUAUUAAAUAUUA